UUUUUUUUUUAAAUACUUUAGGUAAUAUUCAUAAAAAUUGCUGAUGAUGCAUUAGAGAGAUUGACAUAUGUUACAGAAGAAGUUAUAAAAUCAUUUGAAUCCUGUGAUAUUGAUAUUACUGAUAAGAAAAAAUUUGCUCCCCAUCUAACAAUUUUAAAAUUAUCAAAGGACUCUAGAUUAUGGAAAAAGGGUAUCAAAAAAGUUGAAUGUUGUUUAUAUGAUGAAUUCAAGGAUGAACAGUUUGGAACAGAAAUAGUUAAAGGUUUACAGCUAUUAGAAAUGAAGCGCAAAGAUGACACUGGAUAUUAUCAUUGCUGUAAAGAAUUUUUAUUUGAAAAUUCAAAAUAUUCAAAAAACGAAUGUUCAGAAGAAUCCGAAGCAAAAAUAGGAGAGAGUCCAAAGGUUGUUCUUCGAAAGGAGAAAGAAAACGUGCGAAAGAAAAUUUCGUCUUUAACCGAAACACAACUAAAAAGAUUAUGACAGAAGCAAUAAUCAAUGAAAAUUAGUAAUUUUAUACACAUGCACCUUGUAUUUUUCUAUGUACAAAAUACUUGUAUUAUAGAAUAUCCACGUUGCACAAAAUCACAAUUAGUAAAAUUGGAUUGCAAGAACAGAAAACUCACACCUUUGUACAUUAAAUAAAGUUUAUUUUCAUUCUGAUUCUUUCUCUGCAUACAUAUCUUUGGUUAUAUCUGGAGAGACACUGUGCUUCAACAUCUUGUUGUCAUCAAAACAAUCAGUUUUGUUACUUUACAUAUACUUAAGAAUAAAAUAAAUGCAGAAAGUAAGCCAUGCGAUAUUUGUUACCUUAUAAAAACAGAUAUCAGUUUGAAUUUUUCUGCUUUUAUUUCUGGAAAACAAAGUGUGGAGACAAACUAUAGAUACUUUCAAUAGAAAUGAUCAAAAUUACAAUUAAGAAAUGUAAUGAUUUUAUAUCUUCUAUUCCUCCUUUUGGAACAGCAUCGAAUGUAUUCAUGCAAAUGAAAUCAUAUUGUCAUCUGUAUAAUUUACAAUCAAUAUAUCAAUUCAAGAUUAUCAAUUAUUUGUUCUUGCAUUUUAACAUUUUACAUUCUCUUAUAUUUAACAUUUUAAAAUCAUUAAAUAGAAGAUUCAUUGAAUUACCUUAACAAAAAACAAUGGGGCAUGUGCCUUGGUACCUCCCAAUUGCCUUAGCAACACCCAUAUAUACUUAGAUAUACAGUAAAUAAUUCUUAUCCCAUUGACAUAUUUUAACUGUUUAGAAAUUGUUCAUUUGUACAAUUUGUGACACACAACAAAGUAAUUAUAUGUCAGAUUUCUUAUACUGGAUGGUUUAAGUAGGUUUAAGUUACAUGGGUAACCAGUGAAUGGGUGCAUGAGUUUGCUAUUUCAGCCAGUUCUUUUUCCCCUUAUGCCUACGUGUCCCAGACUUAACAAAAUCUCACUUGGUAGUAUCAUAAAAAGCUGGUAUAAUAGCUGCGGGACCUUCUGCACGAGACAGUCCUGAAAAAACUAGAGUUCAAAGUCUGCAUUGUACUGACAAAAUACUCACUUGGUAGUAUCAUAAAAAGCUGGUAUAAUAGCUGCGGACCUUCUGCACGAGACAGUCCUGAAAAAACUAGAGUUCAAAGCCUGCAUUGUACUGACAAAAUACCUAUGUCUCCCACCAAUUUUGAUAGGUAGUGUUUGAUAUGAUUAUGAAAUCUUCCAAACCGUUUCGUUCUAAGGACCACUAGUAAUAUACUAGAUGGGGAGGGUCAUGCAGGCAAACUUCUUGAGAAGGGAGGAAGAGCAAGAGAAGGCCAUCCAUGCCGUGAUAUUGUAUCACUCAUUAAAAUAUCAAAACAAUUUUUUUUUUGGAGAGAUGAUACUUUAAUAUCAACUGCGGUAACUAUUCGACAAAGAAAAGUUUUCACAUUAUAUGAUUAGACUCUAUGAAUAAUGAACUAAUCUAAGUCUAAGCAGUAAAUCAAACAUGCUACUGUCUUGAUUGUGAAAAUAAGUAUUCUCAAUAGUAAUUAUUUUUGGUGAUUACAUUAAUAUUAAUCCCAUUUACUCAAGAAAUGGAACCUGUGCAGAAAUUAACCUUUUUUCCACCGAUUCGCUUUGAGAAGACCUGGUUUACAGUAUAUUUAGGGUGGAAUGUGAUGAAAAGAAAGAAGAAAAGCGAUAUUGU
rnacentral:lncRNA from 1 species